GAUGAACGCUAGCUACAGGCUUAACACAUGCAAGUCGAGGGGAAACGACAUCGAAAGCUUGCUUUUGAUGGGCGUCGACCGGCGCACGGGUGAGUAACGCGUAUCCAACCUGCCCACCACUUGGGGAUAACCUUGCGAAAGUAAGACUAAUACCCAAUGAUAUCUCUAGAAGGCAUCUGAAGGAGAUUAAAGAUUUAUCGGCAAUGGAUGGGGAUGCGUCCGAUUAGCUUGUUGGCGGGGUAACGGCCCACCAAGGCAACGAUCGGUAGGGGUUCUGAGAGGAAGGUCCCCCACAUUGGAACUGAGACACGGUCCAAACUCCUACGGGAGGCAGCAGUGAGGAAUAUUGGUCAAAUGGGCGAGAGCCUGAACCAGCCAAGUAGCGUGCAGGAUGACGGCCCUAUGGGUUGUAAACUGCUUUUAUGCGGGAUAAAGUGGGCCACGCGUGGCCUUUUGCAGGUACCGCAUGAAUAAGGACCGGCUAAUUCCGUG
rnacentral:rRNA from 1 species